rnacentral:lncRNA from 1 species
CCGGAGCUCAGCCAUUAGGCUCUGGUGGGGGUAGAUGGAAGGCGGAGACUUUUCCCCACCUACAAUCUGAGGAUCUGCUCUGCACACAGCUCAAGGACUCUGCUUCUUGCAGCCAAAGCAGUGUGGACUUUAAAAGUUCCGGACUUUGCCAUUUUAUAACCUGCACAUACCACUUCGUCUUCAAUCAGAAUUUUCCCUGAACCUCACCAAGGAGCUCUUUCCAUCUUCUCCAAAGGAAACUGGUGUCCUGGAAAGAGGCCACCAAAUGCAUGAAGCCUGACCAAGCAUGGGGACAACCAGGAAAUACUUUAAAGAUGCACUAACACUAGGAAGCUAACAGGCUUGCAGGGCUGUCUGGGGUUGAGCUGUCAAGGCC